rnacentral:lncRNA from 1 species
CUGCUCUACAGUGCCAGGUGGAUUUGAACAGUGAAGCAUGUUUCCAUCUAAUGCAAGAGAAGCUGUGCCCACACGAUGGGCAGGACCACAGCAGGAGCUUGCUGCAGGGCUUCGCAGCCUUCCCCUGAGCAGAAAAGCCCGCAGCUGGCUCCCACCUCAGCCAGAAGCAACAUCUCAGCAUCCCCGUUUCUUCGUGUCACCCCACGUGAGCUGCUACAGGGACAGCAGACAGAGCUGCCCGGUUGCAGGAGUGCUGUGGGCAGCCAGAGGCCAGCGUUUCACGAUGAGAAGCGGGACCAGCUUUCAGCUUCCUCGUCUCUAGGGAGACUUCCCCUGAGACAGUUGCCAAAGGAUCUCUGGGAAGUGAUUAGCGUUUCGUUCAGGAACAGAAAGCUGUAUGAACCUGCCUAGCUUUAGGGACUGUACGCUGUCACACCCACCAAGUCAGGGGGAUUCCCCAGGGUGUGCAGUGUCUUUAGGAUUGAUUGCUUACUCACUGCCCUCUCCCCCUAAGACCAAGAAGAUUCCUCAAGGCAUCAGAAUUACUUUGUAUGAACAAGUGGCCAAAUCUGGCCAUAGAUUUUAAAGAUUCACCAAGCCUCUCAUUUUAUUAUAUCUACGUUUAACUCUCCUGUUACUUUUGCAGAGGUAUUUAAUGUAAAUUCUGCCUUUUAUCCAACCUAUUCCUUCCAUAUAUUGAGCCUGCAAACAGUUACUACAGCUCUUAAUGGUGAAAGGUCCACCUCAGCGUGAUUCACUGCUGCUUCAAACUACGGCUGUUGUAAAUUGGUGGAAAGUAGACAGAAACACUGGUGUUUUGAUGAAAUAAUAUUUGAAAACCCACAUUCUGCUGAUGCAAAGGCCUGUAGGAGAUGGUGGAAAAUCAGUGCGCUGCUUUGAGUGCACUCAGGUGUUGCAGCAUGGUGAUAUGAGCAAAACAGAACUGGGACCCCUGCUCAUUUUGGGGGGCAAACUGUAGCAGGUCCCAGUUAUGACAAGGAUGGUGCAGAUAAGGUAGGAAGACCAUCACAGUGUAAUUCCCUGGGUAUCUGCCCAAAUCCUUGCUGGCCUGGUCGGAUGUGGGGGCCCUGGCAGCAAAGGCAGCGUGCACCAGAGCCUGGCCACCAGCAGAUGGAGGUCUCACCAGCGUGAGGCCAGAGUAAACUAUUUCCGUGGCAUUCAGACUCCAGAAUUAAAUAGCUGAGUGCAAAAGCAAACUAUGGCCAAGAAGGGCUCCUUUUCACAGUAGUUGGAAAACCAGGACUUGGGGAGGAGUUCAACAAAUUCCUGGGUUUCCAGCUCACACUAGCUGCUGUUAGCUUUCUAUUCAGCAUGGUUAUCAGACCAGAGUUUGGGGUUAAUCUCACUCUGUGGCACCAAGAGCCUGGGAAACAGCAAGGCAUUUGGAGAAAACCUGCUGAGAAGACAGUAACAAGCGCUGCUAAUGAGCCGGGGGGGAAUGGAGCAUGCACUGCACCAGAGGCACAGCAUCUUUCUGCAGGCAAAAAGAACUGACGUUUCGCCUGCUAGUCAGAUGCAUUUCCUCGGCAUAAAUAAAUAAUUUUCCUCCAUAUGGUGUGAUUAGUAGCUUUUGGCCAUUAUUAUGGACCAUCAGUAUUGCUGUUACGGUGGUAAAUAGCUCUAGCCACGGUCUGACCCCAGGGUGUGAGGCAUGGUGUGAAUGGGGCACAGGCUGACCCUUCAGUGGGGUGUUCACAGGCUGGCAGGGAAGGAGCUGCUGCCAGUCUCCAGCAAAUACCCAUUUCUUGGCUCUUCCAAUUAUCCGGGCAAAGCAGAGAGAGCCAGGCUCAGUGCUGAAAACUGCUGCACAUCCCAGCUCUUCUCCUGUCACUGCUGGGGCCUGGGGAGGGAGAAAUGGGGCAUCUCCAGUGCAGGCAGACCUGGCCACAACUUACAAUUCAGGAUCUCAGAGCUUGAGAUCCAUUCCAUGUCCUCCUAGGCAAACCAGGAGCUUUGCACUCCUGCCUUAAAAACAAAACAAAACAAAACAAACAAACAAAAAAAAAACAAAAAAACCCACAGGGAUCAGGAGAAGAGAUCAGGAGAAAAGAUGUUCCCUUCUAUAUAGCUUUAUUGCUUGCAUUAACAUUACUUACAAGCCUUAUUGCUUUCAGUUAAAGUCUGCUGGAGGAGGGAUCACCCGACUGAAAAAAAAAAAAAAAAAAAAAAAAGAUUUUAAGUCCAGGAAGAAAAGAAAAAGAGAGAGAGAGAGUUUAAGUCCACAGAGAAGAGGUAUAUUUUAAAUGCAUAAAAGAGACAUUUUUAAAUGCACAAAAAUAAAAUAAAAUAAAAUAUAUAUAUUUUAAGUCCACAAAAAGAGAUAUAUUUUAAGUCCACAAAAAAGAUAUAUUUAAGUCCACCAAAAAAAAAAAUAAUUUAAGUGCACAAGAAAAGAGGCAUAUUUCAAGUCCCCAAAACUUUUCGAUGCUUACUGAACACGCUGCGAGAAGCCGCCAGCCCUCCCUCUCUCCCCCCUCCCCUUGCCAGCACAUCGCUGCCUCCUUCCCCACCCCCGAGAGGUCCUCGGAAGCCCCGGGGCUCCCUCCCGGGGGGCGCAGCUCCCCCUUCCCCCGGCGGGGCGGCCCCGCUCGCACUUCCUGCUGCUGGCGGCGGGGCGAGGCGGCCCCGGCCG